rnacentral:misc_RNA from 1 species
GGCCAAUUCAAAGUUGCUACACUAUAGAAUGUGCAUUUUCUAUAUUAUUACUUAAAAAGAGGAGUUCAUGACAUUUUCCUGUUAAGGGUGUUUCUGUAAGACUCCUUCGUCACCCCAUAAUAAACAGGGCUACUGCCUCCAAAUGUUAUGAAGUUCCAACCAAAAACUGAACCACCCACAAUAUAACUCUUUCGUGUCCGGCGAUCAUCAAGCUUCAUCUGUGAGUUGAAAUUUGUAUGUGUUUUCUGUUCUGCAGGUUGUUCUGAUGGCUUUUUAUGCCGAAGCAACUCUGGUACUUCUCUAUCCUUUUGUCUGUCCCAGGAUUGUUUUACAGGCAUGCUUUUACCUGAGGAAGGCUGACAUUCCAACACAAACUUCUCAAGGGGAUCUAUCUCCAUGGUCAUCUGCUUGCAUGAAUCCAUCACAAGCUUCAUUUGUAUUCGAAGUUCAUGAGCUGCUUUACAAUUCCGAAAGUCAGGUGACUGAAGCACCUGGAUAAACUGGGGACGGAGUUGUCGAACAAGGGCGCGAAUUUUGAAGUAGGAGGAAUUGCGGAGUUCGACGCUGCUAAGCUUUCUUUUGUUGGAGUGGGUUCGUGGUGGUUGUGGAUCUGUGGAGAAUUGAACGGGCUUUGUUUCUUCCAUUGAAAAGAACCCUAUGGCCUACACAACCACGGAGAGUGGAUCUUUUGAUUUGCUUCUCUCUCAAUCAAUUCUCUGCUUUCC